GCGGAAACGGUCGUCUUUGGCUUUGAGAAAAGUUUAUCUUUAAUUUCAUUAUGGCUAGCCAUUUUUAUUUAAUUUAUCAAUGUUAGAGCUAGUACAUUGUUUUUAAGUUGAGAAAUGCACGCUGUUCGUAUCUAUCCAUCCUUAUGGCAAGAAAAGCUACAUCAAUUAUCAACAUCACGCGCGAUAGCGUCUGCUUGCUCACAACUGCAGCUGACAUCUACGCGCGACCACGCACGACGUUGCUGCCGAGCUCUUGCUUAGCCGCUUGCUUCGCCGGCAUCAGCGUUCUCUCCCCGCAAUGUACCACAUGAGAAAGAAGCUUUUGCUGCUGCUGCUCUUGCAAAGGCGGCGGGAGCGCAGAAAGCGUCUGCGGCCUCUGCGGCGACGUUGGUGGGUCCGGCCAGUCUUUCAACUGCGUAAAGAAGAAGGACUUUACGGCUAUGCAGCGGAUACGUCAGGAUGACCACGGAUUUUUCUACAAGUUCUUUCGCAAGACACCACAGCUCUUUGACAAGCUAUUGAGCUUUGUCGCAGAGGACCUCACAUGGCAGCACCACAUUCGAGAUACCCCUGGAGCCUGGAGAACGACUUGCUGUAGCAUUGAGCAAUGCUUCCCAACGUAUCCAGCCUGCGACUGCCUGCUGAAGCCAGCGAUGCUUGUGACUGCGGCCUGCUGUGGUGUGCCUCAGAAGCCUUGGGAACCAGAACUUCUGGAAACAUCGGUGAUACAAGAGAUUCCAAAAUGUCCUGAGACUCCACAGACUCAUGCGACACCGAAGACAGAGUCGAUGCUGGCGCUUGUGACUCUUCACUUGACGGUGAUGGCACUUCAGAUCAGAAAACUGGCACAUUUUUUGUUAAGAUGUCUGCAGCACUUCCCUCCUCACUCGAUGGGGGCACUGGUGGAAGGUUGGCGGACAUCCUGCAUGUGAGCGUAAUAAGGUUUGCACAUACUGUCAAUGUGUAAAUAAUGUGCCAGUCUGGAUGCAAAAAUAUAUGAAGGCUCAAAUCCGUCCACAUUUGUUUUAGUGUGUGAUUUUAUUAGAGUACACUGAAGCUCUGAAUCAGUUUUGUAGGGACAAAAGUGGCUUGCCUACACAACCAGAAUGAACAGUUUCUGCAUGCGCGUAAGUGUAGCUUUUCUAUCUUUUUCUGUUUUUGCUUGUGAUGCAUUAAGGCAGUUCUUACGUGAUCUGCAUGCGUAAAGCCUAGUGAUUACUUCUACUCAAAACAGUGCAUGAUAUUUGGAAUGUUUCAGUUUUGAAAUAAUUAGCAGGAAGCAUUCCACUACAUUUACUCAGUAAAACCACUUAAUAAAUUUCAUGUUGAAAGACCUAUGCUUGCACUUUCUAAACAUAGAGUAGUAGUACUGUUAGGUCUUGCUUUAGCAUAAGGCUCUCUCCUGUUCUAGUUUUUCUACUUGAAACGUUCUUGGCUUGUGACUUUGUUUUCCUUUCACUUGUUUGUAAACUUCAUCUCAUUCUAAACUGUUUUUCUUAACUGAAUGUACGUCUAAACAGUGUGAAGCUGUGUACGUAGUAGUCAGUGCAUUUGUUGUUUGUAUUUAGGAAGUUACGUCUAAUAAUGUUUGUCUUCUUGCCAUCUGCCUUGCAAAGGGUAUUUUGGCCCAGCAAAGCUGACCUUAGCGAGCAAACCCUUCCAGAAGGUUUCUUACAGCCAAGCUUUUUUUGCCUCUUCUCUGGACUUUCCUACCGCUGCUCCUACUGUCUUGCCAAAUAGCUCGCCUCAUACUGAUAAUAAUGUAGACAUUGAACAAUUGUCAUCCCAGCUGACUACUGGCUACUGUGUUGCACGAGUGACCAGUACUGGACGUAAUGCAAAUACAAAUUAAAAUAAUGUAACUGGAUCGUGGUUUUGGCAUGUAAAAUUUCAAUAAUCAUUUUUUGCACAGUGCGAAUGUGUUAAACUGGAUCAUCAAGUCCUUCCUCGGAAAUUUUGCUAAGCAGGAACAGUGUUCUCCACAAACAUUGUGAAAGCUUCGCUUAAACCAAUAACCACAGCACCUGAGAUCUGCAGAAUAACCACAGGCUGAUAAUAAGUAAGGACACUGCUGAGCAGACACAAAAAGAAUUAUCAAUUACACAGCUGACAAUGUUGUCAGUACUAUGGCGCAUUUAUUCCUACAGCAUGAUGACACUGAAUGAAUCCCUAAGCAAGCUAGGUAAUAUUUGGGGGUCUGUGAUGAUGCACCGAUUUGCACACUGCUGGCAAGCAACAAAAUGCAAAAUUAAAACUGUAUAUUGAAGUGCCCAAGGUACACGUGAAUAUAGCAACAUUCAAUACUCAGUUAAAUACUGGCCAUUGACUUGCACGCUGCCUUCUAGGAUCAGUGCACAGAAUAAAAAAAAAAAAACUACUUGCAUGUUUUGUGUUUUCUUUUUGUGUGCGCAUCAUGCAAGCCCGUUUCUUUUUUUGAUCCUGCUAAUUUGUAUGUGAUAUUCUCUGUACUUCUGUCUUAUGCUUUAUUGUUAGGUUUUUAAGUGCUAUUUUACUUGUUAUUUUGUACCUGUUUUUCUGCUUUCUCUGCUCCCCACUGCAAAGCCAAACUGGCUUUGUGGGUACCUAAAUAAAUAAAUAUACAAAGCU